rnacentral:rRNA from 1 species
AGGAACUUUACCUGGACUUAAAUGUAUAUUGAUCGGUUUAGAAAUAGACUUUCCCUUCGGGGCAAUUUACAAGGUGCUGCAUGGUUGUCGUCAGCUCGUGCCGUGAGGUGUCGGGUUAAGUCCCAUAACGAGCGCAACCCCUAUCGUUAGUUGCUAGCAGGUUAAGCUGAGGACUCUAACGAGACUGCCACCGUAAGGUGUGAGGAAGGUGGGGAUGACGUCAAAUCAGCACGGCCCUUACGUCCAGGGCUACACACGUGUUACAAUGGCCAGUACAAAGGGCAGCUACCUGGUGACAGGAUGCUAAUCUCAAAAGCUGGUCUCAGUUCGGAUCGGAGUCUGCAACUCGACUCCGUGAAGUUGGAUUCGCUAGUAAUCGUAUAUCAGCAAUGAUACGGUGAAUACGUUCCCGGGCCUUGUACACACCGCCCGUCAAGCCAUGGAAGCCGAGGGUGCCUGAAGUACGUUACCGCAAGGAGCGUCCUAGGGUAAAAUUGGUA